rnacentral:lncRNA from 1 species
GCCCCGGAGCGCCCCCUGUAGGCAGCACCACUCAGAGCCGUGGCCCAGAGUCAGAGCUACCUGCAGACCUCAGCUGCUUCCAGGCCGGGCUGCCCGCAGGAACCCACUUUCUCCAGGUCAAAGGUCGUGACCCGGGAGCAGGAGUCACCGUCCUGGCCGCGGAGGCCCAGAGAGCAGGAGCCCGGCCCGCCCGCGUGGACCCGGAUCGCAGCUUCGGGGGAGCUGAAGCGGAGAAGGGAUUCUCCAGACGCCUCCAUGAGAGGCAGGAAGGGAUUUGUUAGGAGGAAUAGAAAGAGCGCUCAGAGACCGCGGAGAGAGGCUCCUUGGGAGCCAGCGCAGUGGAAUGAAACCUACUGCAUUGUCCUGCAAGACUCCAGCUCCACUCGGGACAACCCUCCUCCAGUCACCCUCACUCUGUGUGACUCACUCUGAGCCUGCAGCAGGGCUCUAGUCCCAACCACAGUGCCAGACUGCAAAGGUAGGGACACAGCUACGUGUGAUGUAGUCUAAAAAGUUAAACUAAAAUUAAAUAUAAAAAUUUCUUUUAA